rnacentral:lncRNA from 1 species
UAGGGGAUCCAUAUCGCAGUGUGUAAGCUCUUACUUUUCGUUUCCCUCCAAAUAGGAGGAGCAUAAUAAGCGGGUGUUGCACCAUUAAAAAAAAAAGAGUUGCUUUUAUUUUAAAAAACCUUCCCAUUUGCAAUAUUAACCCGCAAAUUUAAUAACUAAUUUUUUAUGUUGAAAUUUAACAAUUAACAGUUGAAGACUUUUACCUUCCCCAUUAUUCUCACAUUUUUAGUCCAAACAUGGGUAAGGUUAUAACUAUUUGAUCGCAUUCCUUCCCCUCAUUACAUUCCAUCUCAUUCUUUAAGAGGGCCUACUCCCAGGAAAAAAAAAACUAUAACAAAGGUAACCGAGGAGUCAAAACUCCAGAAAUAUCAG